rnacentral:sRNA from 1 species
AAUAUGUUUCGACAGCAACAAAAGAUUCUUCAACAAUCUAGAAUUGUUCAGAGCCAGAGAUUGAAAACAAUUAAACAGUUAUAUGAGCAGUUCAUAAAGAGUAUGGAAGAGUUGGAGAAGAAUCAUGAUAAUCUACUUACUGGUGCACAAAAUGAAUUUAAAAAAGAAAUGGCUAUGUUGCAAAAAAAAAUUAUGAUGGAAACUGUAAGUGAUCAUAUUGAAAUUGAAAAAAUAAGGAUUGAUAUAAGCAAUGAAAUAUUUUAUUUGCUAAAAUAGGUAUAACACUUAAAUAAAAAUUAAACAAAUGUUUAAUAUCUCCUUCCAUGAAACAGCAGCAGCAAGAGAUAGCAAGUGUUCGGAAGUCUCUUCAAUCCAUGUUAUUCUGAUGACUCUUUGAAGAAAGAACUUGAACCUAAGUAAUAUGAUACAAUUAUAACGUUAGCUAAGAAGCAUAUUGUAACUCUUUAGAAUAGUUUAAUUGUAACAUCUUUAAUCAUAAACCUGUUUCAUUGUAAGACCUCCCUUUCUGUUAAGUCAAAUCUAAAUAGUUAUGAGUUAGUUAGCAACUAUUCCUAAAGAAUAUGUAUUAAGCUUUCAGCUCUUUAGUAAUGAUAGUGAAUUUUUCUCUCUAACACUGUCAAUUAAAUAAAGACGAUUUAAUUUUA